rnacentral:rRNA from 1 species
CACGUAGGGUACGAGCGUUGUCCGGAUUUAUUGGGCGUAAAGAGUUCGUAGGCGGCUCAUUGCGUCAACCGUGAAAACCAGCAGCUCAACUGUUGGCUUGCGGUUGAUACGGGUGGGCUGGAGUUCGGUAGGGGAGACUGGAAUUCCUGGUGUAGCGGUGAAAUGCGCAGAUAUCAGGAGGAACACCGGUGGCGAAGGCGGGUCUCUGGGCCGAUACUGACGCUGAGGAGCGAAAGCGUGGGGAGCGAACAGG